rnacentral:lncRNA from 1 species
GCAAAGAACCAAUCCCGAGUGACGGUUAUGACGCGAUGCGCUGCGGGCCAAUCACCGCUUUAGCCCGUCCCCGCGCCUCACUUCAUACCACAAAAGGGACCCAAUAAAUUACUUCUGCGCAGAUGUAGGUCAGAGCUCAAGAUUCGUGCCGAUAACUAUUUUGUAAAACCAAAAAUGUUCCACAGAUGUGCCAAGGAACCCGUGCGCCUCGAUAGUUUACUAGUAAGUGAUUGUUUUCGUCACGCCCACCGUAGACAUGUCACCUAGAAGAAUCUUUCCUUUUCUCAAUCUUUCCUUCUUUGCACAUUGUCUUUUUACCCGACUGCCAAAGAAGGAGGGUAAUGUUUUUCGAGUGUAUGUAAGUAUGUAAGUAUGUAUGUAUGUUGUAUGUAUGUCUGUUCCUUUGUGACCUCCUGUAGCCUAAACGGCUUGAUGGAUUUUGAUGUAUGAGGUAUCGUUAGAUUUGUCUUGAUUACGGGAGUGUCAUAGGAUACAUUUUAUCCUAAAAGUCCCACGGGAUAUUUUUUCUAAAUUUCCCUUUAAAAAAAUAUGUAUGCGGUAUCAUUAGAUUCAUUUCAAUCACGGGAGUAAUUAAUAUAGGAUACGUUUUUUCUCAAAAUUCCCACGGGAACAUGUUAAUUCUGCGUCAACGCAAAGCAACUCAUGCGUUAGCAAGCAAAAAGCGAUUCUUUUGGCGAUACAAUCACGUCGUCUUGAUCAAAUGCAUGAACGUCGUCUUGAUCGUCUUGAACGUCGCAUUGGCGGUAAAUUUAUGUUGCGGAGUAACAUCACUCGUAAUCUAAAGCCAAAUGUCGUCGAAAUAAUUUAAAAUGGUACUUACAUAUAGGUACAUAGUCUUCUACAUCUACAACAUUUUCGUUAAAUAAAAACAGCUAAAAAGUUAUAAAUAAAAGAAUUAUUAUUAAAAAAACAAAAUACCCGACUGCACACUAAAAAAAGAGUAAAACAAGCCCCACAAUAAUAUUGAUCAAUACAACUUUACUGAAUAUAAUUUAUAAAUAUUGAUGGAAAGCAUCGCAGGCGGGGACCACCUUGACCGCCACCAACGAAAAUUCUGCUAAAUGGUGCACAACCGAAAUGACUAUAAAUAAGCCUCUGUUGGUCCCCGCCUGCGAUGCUUUCCAUCAAUAUUUAUAAAUUAUAUUCAGUAAAGUUGUAUUGAUCAAUAUUAUUGUGGGGCUUGUUUUACUCUUUUUUUAGUGUGCAGUCGGGUAUUUUGUUUUUUUAUUAUGUGUAAGCUCGGGAGCGCUCAGUAGUGGUCGAGUCGCCGAGUCAUACAAACACAAUGUGCAUGUACAUUUACACACACAAGUGUGUCUCACGCGCUUUCGUGAAGUAUAACUUCUGUAAUUCAAUGGCCUGAUUUACUACUUAAAAUAAUGGAUGAUCAAAUUAUUCAUAACCUUGUAAUAGGGACUUGUUCUUCUUCAGGUAAUUUUGGUUUAGCUAUGAAUAAUUAAUACUGUGCAAAAAAAAGGUAAAAAAUAUGUGAAUGAUAAAAUUGCCCAAUAGCUUUUAAAAACAGCAAAAUAUAUAUUUAUUUAUUUUUAACUACUUAGUUAAAAAUAAAUUCCAAGACAGCCAACCCCAAAAUAUUUGGGAAAAGGCUAGGAAUAUGAUGACAUCACUGUAACGCAAUUAUAGUUACAUAUAAAUUAUUCUAGUUACAACUAGCAUUUUUAUAAUUAUUAUGUCUUCGGAUAAAGUAGAAACCUUUCUUCCUUAGAAAUAAUAGCUUUUCUUUGAAUUUUAAAUUGGCAUUUAAAGUUACAUGAACUCAUGACAAUCAAUUGAAGAGCGAAAUAGCAAACAAAAGCUCAUAUUAUGUAAUAAAAUUCUUGUAUGUCUAUUGAUAAUUAAACCAAACUUUUUGGUGUGCGUUCGCGCAGCGGAAUGUUGUUGAAUUAAAAGAUUUUAAUUAUGCAGAUAAUUAGUGUAAGACGUCCUAUAAUUGUGUAUGGUAAAUAAAAAUUUGUGUAUGCAGCCAUUGUGGAGAAAUUCACCAAAAACAGAUUCCGCUGGGCGAACGUUGGCGAACGUUGUCCUGGCGGAACUUUUUUUAAUCCAUAGACUUUAGAAGAAAAGAGAUGUGUCCGAAAAUUAGUGUGUAUUUGUGUAUAAUUGAUUAUGUAUGAAUGAAAUUAGUGCAUGCAUAAACUUCGGAGAAAUUCAAGUUUCCGCUACGCGAACGUUUGGCCAUUAGCUAGUUUUCAUAUAAAGCGCUUACGUAGAGAGCUGUAGAUUUUUACGUACGUUGUUUUGAAUUUGUUUAUAUUUGUUUAAAAAACAGAUUUAGAAAAAGUCGUAGGGUUUAAAAGAUAAAAAUAUAAACGUAAAAUACACUUAUUAGGUCUUAGUUCUUAAAGUAUGCAGUUUGGGGUCUAGAUUUUCACGUUUACACAAACCUUGUAAGUGUCUCCAACAUGUUGCCAAGUAUCAAUGAUGUUCCAUUAGUAAUUAAAAAGUUAUAGGAUAUUUUAACAUGAACAGAUCACUGUUUACAAAGCAGUCGAAUAUCACGACGUUCUAAAGGAAUUGCAUGGUAAAAUGUAUGCCAAUAAUUAGUUUAAUCAUUCAACUAUUCACUUGCAAAAUUUCAUGUCAUUAAAUUCAGUAAUUAAAGAAAGACAAUUAAAAUAUCGAAACCCUACAUAAUCCGACCAAGUUCGGAUUGCUACCAAAAAGCGGCCGUGCCAUAUGUCUAAGCAACGUUCUUAACUUGGAGGGUUAGUAUAUUUAUUAAUAUGGUACAGUUGCGUACACAAGCGUUAGGAAAAAAUAAAACAAUUGCAUUUCUUGAAUGAAAAAUAUUUUUUAAUAAUAACGCCACUAUCUACGACAUUUUAGUUAAAAUACGUAAUGUUUAUUAACGUUAUUUUUAAUCACGUAGUUAAGUAAUUUAUGUAAGUAAUAAUAAUAAAAAUAUUUUUGUACACUCAUAUUUAAAUAGAGAAGUACUUGUUAAUUGAAGAUUUAUUUUUAUCGUAGAUAGUGGCAUUAUUAUUAAAAAAAUGUUUAUCAAUCAAGACAUACAAUACGGUAGUUUCCAACGAGUCAAAUUCAUUACUUUUAUUUAACUGUCAAAAACUGACACUUUCUUUGCAAUAUGUAUGUAAGCGCAACUUAUGACGUCACAGAUUUUUCACAUCAAACUGGAUUCUUAUUUAGCUUAUAUUAUCAAUAAAAAAAUUUAAUCAAUUAUUCCAUCAAAACGAUAAAUGGAAGUGACAUUAUUUUUAGAUGCUUCACUAAAUGAAUAUGACAACGUAAUUUAUUUUUGACCUAGUCAUCCACCCAAUUGUUUUAUUUUUUCCUAACGCUUGUGUACGCAACUGUUCCAUAUUAAUAAAUACUAACCUUCCAAGUUAAGAACGUUGCUUAGACAUAUGGCACGGCCGCUUUUUGGUAGCAAUCCGAACUUGGUCGGAUUAUGUAGGGUUUCGAUAUUUUAAUUGUCUUUCUUUAAUUACUGAAUUUAAUGACAUGAAAUUUUGCAAGUGAAUAGUUGAAUGAUUAAACUAAUUAUUGGCAUACAUUUUACCAUGCAAUUACUUUAGAACGUCGUGAUAUUCGACUGCUUUGUAAACAGUGAUCUGUUCAUGUUAAAAUAUCCUAUAACUUUUUAAUUACUAAUGGAACAUCAUUGAUACUUGGCAACAUGUUGGAGACACUUACAAGGUUUGUGUAAACGUGAAAAUCUAGACCCCAAACUGCAUACUUUAAGAACUAAGACCUAAUAAGUGUAUUUUACGUUUAUAUUUUUAUCUUUUAAACCCUACGACUUUUUCUAAAUCUGUUUUUUAAACAAAUAUAAACAAAUUCAAAACAACGUACGUAAAAAUCUACAGCUCUCUACGUAAGCGCUUUAUAUGAAAACUAGCUAAUGGCCAAACGUUCGCGUAGCGGAAACUUGAAUUUCUCCGAAGUUUAUGCAUGCACUAAUUUCAUUCAUACAUAAUCAAUUAUACACAAAUACACACUAAUUUUCGGACACAUCUCUUUUCUUCUAAAGUCUAUGGAUUAAAAAAAGUUCCGCCAGGACAACGUUCGCCAACGUUCGCCCAGCGGAAUCUGUUUUUGGUGAAUUUCUCCACAAUGGCUGCAUACACAAAUUUUUAUUUACCAUACACAAUUAUAGGACGUCUUACACUAAUUAUCUGCAUAAUUAAAAUCUUUAAAUUCAACAACAUUCCGCUGCGCGAACGCACACAACUUUUUGGCGCCUAGAAACGUGCCGAUUUAUGCUCGGAAGUUAGGUGUGAAUCGCCAUUAAGAUUGGCGAAACUAUACCUACUUGCGUAAAGGUUUACGUACUUGUAAAUGUAAUAAACUUUUAUUUUAAAAUUACUGCAUCGUCGCCAUAGUUAGUAAACUAAAUAAUAAGUUGAAAACAAUGAAUUUGAAAGUUGUAAAUAAUUGUUAUUAAAUGAUUUUUUUUAUUUAA